AUCCCACAAUCCCGAUUUCUGCCUUGUGCCGCUCCCUCCUAAUUCCCGCCACAUUUGCCUAAUCGGGCAUGUCCCAC